AUUAAAUAAUCUAAUAACAAUUUUGCAAUCACAAUGACCUUCACAAUGGAAGCCCACGUUUAUUCGAAGGAAGAACGAGAAAUGAAUAUCCAUAUUGAAACAAGUUGCAACAAUACUACGUAUUUAUGUAUAUGCAUCAUAUAGCCAACUCUUCAUCGCUCCAAUCGCUAACUCCAAAUCCUGAUGAACCAUGGAAACUACGUGAUCUUGCAACUUGACUAAAAAGAGAGCAAAUAUUUUUCUUGAGUAAAUUUGUCCAAUUAAAAGUUCUAUGCAAGCAGCUUUAUUUAACCAAGAGCAGCUUGGUUCUUUCUUGGAUCAUGCAAACAAAAAGAAUCAAUAUAUAAGGCUUAAAACAUUAAUCUAGCCGUGUGUUGCAUUAAUAAGCCAAAACAAACUAGGCUUAAAUUCCUGGCUGGCAUACACAUUAUGAAGAAAUGUAUAUGUAUAUUGGUUUCAUUCUAACUAUUUCACUUACGAGUUACAUUCUUUCAAUAAAAAAAUAAAUGAAUAUUUUUAUAGCCGAGUUCACUAAAACAUAAUCCAUUUCGAAAAUAUGCUAUGAAGUGAAACAUGAAUAAUAUGGAUUCUUAUGUGACAAAAGUAAAAGCUAUUAUUAGACUAAAAAAUCAUAUAAAACAGAGGCACAUCCAUAGUAUUCAUAGAUUAAUUGUGCAUCGCAAUAGACAAUGAAUUAACGUGUAUAUAAAUAAAUUCAAAAAGCAGCAUUGUUGCAAUACGAUUUUCUCAAGAGGCCCUACAAAAGUAGCAAUGACAUUUAAAAAUUAUAUUGCUA